GCAGAAACAAGUGCGAUAAGGGUUCGAAGGUUUUGAUAUCUUUCUCGUUUUCUCCAGGAAGAAAAGAAGUAAAAGUAUCGGCAGCGGAAUAAGUGAUAGCGACGAUAAAGAUUUGUUGAAAAGAAAGUUUAGGGCUCGAGUUACUAAAUUCAAUCUGUGACUGACGGUCGAGACUACUGCUGGAAAUUGAGGCAAGUUUGUUUUGCCUUUGUGUUAGGGAGGACUUUAGAUUUAAAUUGGGUCUGUAGAUAAUUAUUGAUACAUUGUGACAUAGAUAUGCUUAAAAACUUACUUAGAAGUGUUGUGGAUGUGUAUUAGGAUAACUGUUUAUGGCUUAUUCGCUCCUGGUAACUGUGUACAACAGGGAUGUUUGAUUUAAGACUUUGUUGUCAGCUGAAGUCGUUAGAAUAUCUUGAACUCAUGAUUGGUAUUUUAGGAAAGUGGGAUUGUUAGUCAAGUCUCUCAGUUUUGGAGACCGUUUCUAUAUGUUGUUAGUUAGGUGCUUGUAGGUGUACCUAGGCAUUAGAUAAAUCUGACUCCACUUACUUUCUAAAAAGAAAAAAAAAAAAAGAAGAAAAAGAGUUUGAAUACACUAGGAAUUUAAGUCCCAUGUUCUAGUGCGUACCAUUAGGGGAGUAAAAUCCUUAGCUUAAAUGUACAGAGAUUGGAAAUUUGGAUAUUACUUUGAGUCAUGACACAAUUUGUUAAAUUCUUAAGCCUUAUUUAAAAUGUAUAAGCACCAUCUUAUAUUUGACUAAGUUUAGGCACAGUAGAUGAGAAUGGUACUAUAGCACUUAUGUUUUGUGUUACGUAUUACAUUUUUGUAUGGACAGUCAAGUGGUUUGGGAGGUUGCGUUGUCUUAUGUGUAUAGAUUUGAAUUUGAAGUGGUAUAGUCAUUCAAACUAUGCACCCACCAACCAUGGUCAGUUUGCUGUGUUGCUAUCGUGGUCUAGUGGAAAAAACCAAGGAAAAUAUAUUAACUUGUGAAAUGAAAAAUUUGCUAGAUUUUACAAUGAUCACUUGCUUAAAUUACUCUUUAGAAAGUGUGUUGUGCGGCUGUGAAAAGGGUUGAUAGUAGAAAAUGAUAUGUUUGUGUUGGUGUUUGGACUAAUCUAUGGAAAUUAGUUAUUACCAGAGGAUUCUUAGUGGCGGUGUAAGUUUAAACGUUAGGCUUACCAGGUCUGGAAUUAUGAUCCCGGGAUAUACGAUGGACCUGGGUGAAUUAAAUCAAAUCUCAAAUGGUGUAUGAGGUGUUAAUAGAGAAAGAGAAGGCGUUUGAGUGAUUUCCAGAUUCGGGAGGAUAUUUGAAGAUAUCUAACUGACGGUGGACAUCUACUCUUUUUAUUUAUUUUCGUUAUCUAGUUGUGAGGCAGUGGGGAUUUUUGAACUUGGGUAGUUUCCAUCAUUUUCGUGGAUUCAUAAAAAAAAUUUCUUGUUUGUGGAGCAUUUAAGAGUUGUUAAGUGCACAAUAUUUUUUUUUAGACGUCUUCAUUUUAUAGCAUAAAUAAAAUGUCCUUCUGCAUAUACAAUUGUAAUGGAAUGUGUUCCUAGUUUUCUGUGGUUAUGUACCUUGUUGCAGGAA